AAAAAAGCGUUGAUGGAAAAGAGUAAUCUUUUAAGACCUUUACAGGGAAUAUCUGCCAUAGACUGUAAGCAGAUCAGGGGAUAGAAGGUGAAGUUCACUUCCGGAGCUUGUCGUAACUGACCGGCUGCGGCCGUUAAAACUUGUAAGUGCGCCAAAAAUUGGCGAAUUAGGAUGGUAACGCGAGACCUCGUUCCUUUA
rnacentral:ncRNA from 1 species